rnacentral:tRNA from 1 species
AGUCUUAUAUUCAAAAAUGAUUUAAAAUUGCAAAUUUUAAGGGGUAAUAAAUUUACUAAGGCUU